rnacentral:rRNA from 1 species
UACAGAGACCUCGAGCGUUAUCCGGAUUGAUUGGGCGUAAAGAGUGCGUAGGUGGCUUCUUAAGCCGAUGGUUAAAUCUUCCAGCUCAACUGGGGGACUGCCGUCGGAACUGGGAAGCUUGAGUGCGGAAGGGGUGAGCGGAAUUGCCGGUGUAACGGUAAAAUGUGUUAAUAUCGGCAAGAACACCAGAGGCGUAGGCGGCUCACUAGUACGUUACUGACACUGUUGCACGAAAGCGCGGGUAG